rnacentral:rRNA from 1 species
ACUUCAAGAUAAGAUUUCCCACCGCAAGGGUAAGACCCCAGAAAGACUAUCUGGUUGAUAGGUCGAAGGUGUAAGUGCAGCAAUGUAUUUAGCUUAUCGAUACUAAUAGGUCGAGGACUUGACCAA